rnacentral:rRNA from 1 species
UACGUAGGGGGCGAGCGUUGCCCGAAUUUACUGGGCGUAAAGCGCACGUAGGCGGCUCCGUAAGUCUGGUGUGAAAUCUCACGGCUCAACCGAGAGGCUGCACCAGAUACUGCGGGGCUCGAGGACGGGAGAGGAGAUUGGAAUUCCCGGUGUAGCGGUGAAAUGCAUUGAUAUCGGGAGGAACACCAGUGGCGAAGGCGGAUCUCUGGCCCGUUGCUGACGCUGAGGUGCGAAAGCGGGGGGAGCUAAAGGG